rnacentral:rRNA from 1 species
GAUGAACGCUGGCGGCGUGCCUAAUACAUGCCAGUCGAGCGAACGGACGAGAAGCUUGCUUCUCUGAUGUUAGCGGCGGACGGGUGAGUAACACGUGGAUAACCUACCUAUAAGACUGGGAUAACUUCGGGAAACCGUAGCUAAUACCGGAUAAUAUUUUGAACCGCAUGGUUCAAAAGUGAAAGACGGUCUUGCUGUCACUUAUAGAUGGAUCCGCGCUGCAUUAGCUAGUUGGUAAGGUAACGGCUUACCAAGGCAACGAUGCAUAGCCGACCUGAGAGGGUGAUCGGCCACACUGGAACUGAGACACGGUCCAGACUCCUACGGGAGGCAGCAGUAGGGAAUCUUCCGCAAUGGGCGAAAGCCUGACGGAGCAACGCCGCGUGAGUGAUGAAGGUCUUCGGAUCGUAAAACUCUUUUAUUAGGGAAGAACAUAUGUGUAAGUAACUGUGCACAUCUUGACGGUACCUAAUCAGAAAGCCACGGCUAACUACGUG